GAUGAACGCUGGCGGCGUGCCUAAUACAUGCAAGUCGAGCGAACAGACGAGGAACUGGUUCCUCUGACGUUAGCGGCGGACGUGUGAGGAACACGUGUAUAACCGACCGAUAAGACUGGGAUAACUUCGGGAAACCGUAGCUAAUACGCGGUAAUAUAUUAGACCGCAUGGUUCAGUAGUGAAAGACGGUUUUGCUGUGACUUAUAGAUGGACCCUCGCCUCAUUAGCUAGUUGGUAAGGUAACGGCUUACCAAGGCAACGAUGAGUAGCCGACCUGAGCGAGUGAUCGGAGACACUGGAAGAGGGACACCGUCCAGACUCCUACGGGAGGCAGCAGUAGGGAAUCUUCGGCAAUGGGCGAGAGCCUGACGGAGCAACGCCGCGUGAGUUAUGAAGGUAUUCGGAUGGUAAAACUGUGUUAUUAGGGAUGAACAACUGCGUAAGUAACUGUGCAAGUAUUGACGGUACCUAAUCAGAAAGCAACGGCUAACUACGUG
rnacentral:rRNA from 1 species